GUGAAACCAUCCAUUCCAAACCAAAGGAGCCCCCUCACCAAUGGCCUUGCCGCCCAGGAACCCUGCAGGGCAGAAGUUGGGGAGGGGAUAGCAGUCUGAAUAGCGGUCUUGGAUGGCUGGAAGCUGGCACCUGUGAACAAGCACCCAUGAUGGUGAUGCAUCCGGAACCAGGCUGCCCAGCCAGCCAGCGCUUUCCCACCGGAGCUCUUUGCUCUGGGCUCCUCUGCCGUUGAUUUCCCAGGUCCCGCCUUGCAUUUUCUCCCUCAUCUUCACAUGUGGGGAGCCCCUGACCGGCUGCUGAAGACCCCCAGACAAGCCUUCAGAUUCCAGAUCAUGGAAGGCAGCAUGGGGAGGCAGGAGACCCCCGGGAGGGCGGAGCAUGACUUUUGUCCAGGAGGCUGGACUACCAACUUCAGCAGGCUCUGGUUGGCUUUGGAGGACAUCCCUUGAGAAGUGCUGGCAGAUGUUGGAUUCCCGCCACCUGGAGGCCUGACCUCACCUGAGGGCAUCCCUGCCUGUCCAUGUCUUUUGACUGGGUGGGCAGCCCUGCCUACCUCUCUGCGGCUUCAAACACCAGCCCCUUCCACUCAGAGACACUCAAAAUGUGUGUGAGUGUGUGAAGGGGGACUCUGAGACUGAGGGUGGCACUGGGAGCCGUCUGGGGUGCAGGGUCAAUGGCGGGGCUCUCCAGGACAGGUCUGGUAUAAAGGGUCAUUCAUUCCUGACAGGUGUGUGUGGGGUGCGGGGCCUGGCCUGGGCCAGCCAGAGCUUUCAGCAGGAUUUAAUCAGGGCUGAGUGGGCCCCCCUGAAAGCCGGGAUUGUGUUCUAUCAGAGGUCACUGUUUCAUGAGCCCUGUGGGGAUACAGAAAGACCAUAGAGCAAGAGGGCACCUGGGUGACCAGCUGCUCAGGGUGCAGCCUGCUCAGGUACGAGGGCCUGGUGGAAGGAGGAAAUGGGUUUGGAGGAGGGUCGGUCUAUGGGAAUUAGCACGUUUGUAACUCAGAAGCUUGCUGAGCCUGACACAGGCUCUUGGCUGAUCAGUGCCCGAGUGGGUAUUCCAAUCCCUGGACAGUGAUGCAAAUGUACUUUCUCAGUUUUUCUAUCCUUCCUUCGAGGCUUUGUUUGAUGGAGUUUGGGGACUGGAAGGGAGGAUUUCAAGGUGUGAGUUGGGCAAUGUGGCUGGAGUAAGUCUCAGGCUAGCGAUUCAGUGAACAAGAGAUAGAAAUGGUUUUUUCUCUGAUUCUACUUACUCUCCAUUGGAAGCCAUCCAUGGGGAGCAGAUGUAGGGGAGGGGAGUGGUAAAAAUUGGUUCUCAGGUGGUUUGAGUUCUUCCCUUUUUCCGCAAGGGGUGAUCUCACUUCCAUCAAGCAGCAAUCUCCUGACUUUAGUGCCUCUGUUGGGGCUGGAGAAACAUUCUGCUGAUUCUGAGAGUUUGCUGGGGCCCAGAAAC
rnacentral:lncRNA from 1 species